rnacentral:rRNA from 1 species
GAUGAACGCUGGCGGCGUGCUUAACACAUGCAAGUCGAACGGAAAGGCCCUGCUUUUGUGGGGUGCUCGAGUGGCGAACGGGUGAGUAACACGUGAGUAACCUGCCCUUGACUUUGGGAUAACUUCAGGAAACUGGGGCUAAUACCGGAUAGGAGCUCCUGCUGCAUGGUGGGGGUUGGACAGUUUCGGCGGUUGGGGAUGGACUCGCGGCUUAUCAGCUUGUUGGUGGGGUAGUGGCUUACCAAGGGUUUGACGGGUAGCCGGCCUGGGAGGGUGACCGGGGACAUGGGGACUGAGAGACGGCGCAGAGGGCUAUGGGAGGCAGCGGUGGGGAAUAUUGCACAAUGGGCGCGAGCCGGAUGCAGCAACGCCGCGUGCGGGAUGACGGCCUGCGGGUUGUGAACCGCUUUCGCCUGUGACGAAGCGGGAGUGACGGUAAUGGGUAAAGAAGCACCGGCUAACUACGUG